CUAAAAGCCAGCGGCUGCCUUGCCACCAACGCCACCUUUGGAUCACGAGGCUCCUCCCUCCCGAGGCACGGGAAGAAACGUGGGGUCUGGGACUCCAGGGUGGAAAAGCGGAGGGGCAGCUCCCACAAUAGCCUUCCUUCGGAAGGCACACUGCAUCUGGGACUUCGCACUCGCCCUUACCCCUACCUCCCUUCCCACCCUCUCUUGGGGGCUGGAUCUCGGGCUUUGCAGGAGGUGGCAGAGGUCACUGAAAGGUCUAGGCUUUGCUGGGACUCUGCUGGAAUCCAGAGCAGUCGACCAUGGGGCCUUGGGGCCUCUCCCACCCCGGAGCUGCAGAAGGGAAGCUGAAGUGCCGGUUGGAGGAAGUCCCCACCCCCAAAGCCCUCCUGCAGAAUUGAACCCUCCUCCCUCUGGGCUGGGGGAGUAGGGGAGAAGAGCCCGAGAGCUCCUGAGGUUUUCUCUGGGCUAGUUGGAAAACCCGUCCUGGCUCCAGUCUGCCCUCGGCCUAGUCCAUCAGAGUCCCCACAACCAGGAACCCAGAAGAGAGCACAGGAGUGUAGAUACCUGAGGACUUCCAGGAGCCAAACAGCACCUGGACACACAUUUACUCAGAUGAUUUCCCCACUUCUAUUUUUAUCUGAAAUGGAGUUUCUGGCAGAUGUUGUGGUCGCCCUCUUUAUAGCCCCACGUUGCUGCAGAAGUGACCAAAAACAGCGAGUUUUGAGUUUUUGGUAUUGUUUGUUUGUUUGUUUGUUUUCUUGGAGUGCUUGGCCUUGACCAACACAAUCCCUGCUUCGGGCUUCAGCCCACCACAGAGCUUACCAGUGCUGCAGCUCGGUGCAGGCCUGGCCGGAAUUUAUCACUUUUAG
rnacentral:lncRNA from 1 species